AAAGCGUGCGCAGGCGGUUAUGUAAGACAGAUGUGAAAUCCCCGGGCUCAACCUGGGAACUGCAUUUGUGACUGCAUGGCUAGAGUACGGUAGAGGGGGAUGGAAUUCCGCGUGUAGCUGUGAAAUGCGUAGAUAUGCGGAGGAACACCGAUGGCGAAGGCAAUCCCCUGGACCUGUACUGACGCUCAUGCACGAAAGCGUGGGGAGCAAACAGGAUUAGAUACCCUGGU
rnacentral:rRNA from 1 species